UCGAGGCAGGGACUGAUCUUGUGCUGAAGCGGAGGAGGCUCCUGCGGAGGUUUUAUCUGUGGUGUCCUGCACAGGGGGUAGCUGGGAAGGAGACACAUCGUCAUUUCUGUGCGUGUUCCUAAUCCCCGCUCUGUUUUCUGCUAGCGGAGAACAUCACCGUCAUCAGGCCUCUCACACCUGCCCUGGCCGAGCCCCGGGGUGCCGAAGCUUGCUGCACAAUGCAGACCCAAAGCCUCCCCAGGGGCAGACCGAGCCGCUGCAGGGUCUGGCAACAACCCCCUCGUGCCUGAGGCUGUCUCAGACCGAUUUCCAGAAGCAGCUGAAGGCCAUCCUGCAAACCCUCCACCAGAGCUGGGAGAAGAAGAUGCUGUGGGAGCUGGGGAAGGAGCAGAAGCAGGAUGGGAGAGUCUGCCAGUGCCAGAGGGCUGUGAAGGGCCCCGGAGGCAGGGCUGAGCCAAGAUGCUUUUGAGAGGGAAGGAAGCAGCAGAAGAAUUGGCUGAAGAUGGCCUGUUAAUGCCGAAAAUCCUGGGUACAGCGUGCUGGGAAGCUGCACCCACGCUAGCAGGUGAGCUGGCUCUCCUGGCAGAUCCCUGGCAUCAUUUCCAGCCCCACCACUUCUUCCCAUGCCUCUCCAGCAGCGAUGGGCUUCCCCGACGUGCCAUCUCCACAGGGAGUCACCCCAAGUCCCCCCUGCCUUGCCAGCUAUGGGUGACCUCCCUUGUGAUCCAAGACACCUGGUAUUUAAAAGUAUUAAGCCUAAUUUUUAUGUGUUUUUAUCUCUUCACAGAUUGCAGGCAUUAGAUCAGGAUCAGGGGGGGUUUGAUCCCGGUGGAUCCCUCUUCCCAAAACCACCGAGGAGACCUUUGCGUCAGCAUCUCUCUGGGCUCAGCCCCUCUAUAAACCCUCUGUGCUUGGGCACAAGAGGGCACUGAAACACCAUUACGGUCGGACCGUUGGUAGCACAGACAGAGCUGCUGGAGCCAUGAAGUCCCUUCUGCAUCUUCCCCCUGGCUCGCAGGGUCCCUGUACCCGGAGGAGUGAGCGGACACAUCCAGAGGAUGCUCCUGCCCCUACACUGUGGUGUGCACAUCCAGGCUGUGCUCUUCCCACUCCAUUACAUCGCCUGAGAUGGUGGGAGCAGGAGCCGAGUGGAGCCAGCACCCGCUCCUGCAAGAGCAGACCUGUUAUUUCUGGAGCUGGGACCAGCAAGAGCAACCAAAUCCUUUGAGGUUUGUGCUUCUUGGGGUCACACACCCUCUCGCUGCCUGCAAAGCAAGCCUCCCUUUCACCUGCCGGGGUGAGAGCUGGUGGAAAUCAUGAGUCAGCGGCGUUCUGCAAAUCUGGGAGCACUUAAUUGGUAUUAAUCUCAUCAAUGCAAAUCAUAUUAACUCUCCUAGAAACACUAGGCCUUUACCAAUAGCAACACUGACGAUUCCAUAUAAAUCAAAUUUACCAGCCUAUAAACAUUAGUACAUCCCACAGACAUAUUCACCCUCAUAAAAAACAUCAAUUGCUGCCUGACUAUAUUAGUGGAAAUAAAUUACAGAACUUUAUCUCUCUGCCAUGAUUAUGGGCAAAACCGCAUAAAAGAGACACUUGGAAGAUGCUUUUGUGUCAAUUGUUACUGAAGUUGCCGAUGCUGUUCAGCUUCUUCAAAACGCUAUGAAUUGCAUAUAAUUAAGGGAUUUGAAAACCUUCAAUGACUAAAUGAUAAAAAUGUCCCUUUUGCAAGCCCUGAAGCACCUGUGUGAGCAAUUUUUGUGUAGGUGAGGAGAAUAAAAACAACUUAUUAAGCAUCACCUUUUGGGAGCAAUGCAGGAAGGUCCUUUUAC